AACCAGAAGGCGCAAUGAAAGUGAAGGCACGGUCGCCGUGCUGAGGUGAGAGCUGUCCAUGGCAGCACAUCAUCGACCGAUCCCAUCCACGCCCUCGUGGUGUGGCGGGAUUCGAGUAAGAGUGUACCUGUUGCGACCCGAAAGAUGGUGAACUAUGCCUGAAUAGGGUGAAGCCAGAGGAAACUCUGGUGGAGGCCCGUAGCGAUUCUGACGUGCAAAUCGAUCGUCAAAUUUGGGUAUAGGGGCGAAAGACUAAUCGAACCAUCUAGUAGCUGGUUCCCUCCGAAGUUUCCCUCAGGAUAGCUGUAGCCCUAAGCAGUUUUAUCAGGUAAAGCGAAUGAUUAGAGGUAUCGGGGAAGAAACUUCCUCGACCUAUUCUCAAACUUUAAAUAGGUAAGAAGUCCGACUUGCUCAAUUUGAAGCCGGACACAGAAUGCUGGGUUACUAGUGGGCCAUUUUUGGUAAGCAGAACUGGCGAUGCGGGAUGAACCGAACGCCGAGUUAAGGUGCCAAAGUCGACGCUCAUCAGAUCCCACAAA
rnacentral:rRNA from 1 species